CCGACCUUAGCUCAGUUGGUAGAGCGGAGGACUGUAGUAUGCUUCGUAGCAAUCCUUAGGUCGCUGGUUCGAAUCCGGCAGGUCGGA
rnacentral:tRNA from 1 species